GACAUUAUCAUGUUACUUUGACGACGUUGAAACAUGUUGCACAGUAGUAUUGGGAACUUUUUAUUUUAAGUUUUUUACUUUCUUCGCGGCACAGACCGGCUGUCUGAUUUCUACGUUUUGCAGGCUCUUUCCCUACAGAGUGGAUGAGAGGGCCUCCAUUCCCUCUUUGUUUGGGGACAGCGCAUCUGACGAGCAGAAGCAGCCCAUAAAGCAACGGAGGAUGCUGGGACCAGGAGAACAACAGAGGUUGGCUACAGAGAUGUUAUACCAUCCUGAUUCAUGCUAAGGAGAGGUUCUCCUUCACCCAGCACCUCAUCAGCGUAACACUGUUGCACGGAGAGUUGUUCCCACAACACAGUGUGAAGUUCCCCCGAUACAGCGCUUGAAACAACCGUGGAGGCGUACCCCAUGUUGAACAAGGCCAAGCUCAAAACCCAACAGUCCCUCAUCUAUGAGAACAGUGAGUUCAAGGCUUGUAGUGGUGCAGUGCCCCUGUACCAGUUCUUCAUGGAGAACAACCUUCAGAGCACUUUCACAGACACUGUCAGCUUCCUCAAGAUCCUCAUCACCACACCCAUGACAACAGCUGAGUCAGAAAGGUGCUUCUCUACACUGAAGAGGAUCUUCCUGAGAAACAGCAUGACACAGGAUUGCCUGAAUGCUCUGGCUAUGCUCUCCAUGGAGAAGAAACUUGUCAGGGACAUUCUUGACUAAUAAAAGGGUCAUUGAGAGGUUUGCCACUCAGAAGGACAGACAGGUGAAAUUCCUAUACAAAUAAGAUGAUACAUACAGGAGCACUGACCAUAUGUUUCUUUGUAUAUAGUUGACCGUAGCAUAAAAAAGCAUCCAGUUAUAUAUGGUACUCAAGAAAGUCUUGAGUGUGUUUGCUAAUAUUACUGUAUAUAUGUUUUGUAUCAAUUAAUUGUUGCAGUUCUGUAGCACAUUAACAAUUAGUUUGAGUAAAAUACUGUAUGCUAUUCUUCUAGUCAAAGGUUUGAGUUCACUCACUUGAUAUCCAUUUCUAUAUUAUACAUCCUUUAUACAUUGUAAGAUUUCCUAUAAACCUCCUAAUAAUUUCAUUUUAUUGUCCACUUUCCACUGUCCUGACAGCAUGCCUGUUGGGUUGCCUAUUUACUACCAAUGUAUUUCAUAUGCUGGACCC